UAUGAUCGAGGUUGUUAGUUAUAACAUCGUAAAAUUCAACCGACAAAUUAUAUCCGGGAGAUUGUAUUUUUAUUUGGAAGAGAUGCCUCUUUAAGUGGACCUCAGAUGAAUAAUUGAAAUCACCCACCUAGUUGAAUCUCGGGUAUGAAUUUUACGAUGACACGGCAUCCUGGGUAAAAU
rnacentral:other from 1 species